rnacentral:lncRNA from 1 species
CCCAUAUCAUCUAUCUUUUGUGUCCCGUUCAACUGCUGUCUAGUGCUGCUAAAGCCAUCGCGGAUAUGUUACCUAACUUUUUUUAUUAGUGGAAGAAUAUUCCCACUGCUCCACUGAGGCCUACAGAAAGGUGAAGGGAGAAGCGUGCUGGAUAGAAAGAACAGGAGUUGCUCAGUGUGUGUCGGCAUCCAGCCACAGGUCAGCUGGGUCCUGCUCAGCUGUCACAGCAAAGAGACUACUGUGCAGAGCUGUAGCCUCAAGGGAAGCUGACUCCCUUCUCAAGUCACUGCCAGAACCUGGAAGCAACCUAGAUGCCCCUCAACUGAAGAAUGGAUAGAGAAAAUGUGGUACAUUUAUACAAUGGAGUACUACUCAGCAGAAAAAAGCAAUGGAAUCUUGAAAUUCAC